rnacentral:rRNA from 1 species
AGAAAAUAGAUACCCUGGUAGUCCAUGCCGUAAACUAUGGAUACUAGCUGUUGGGGGGUAUCGACCCCUCCAGUAGCGAAAGCUAAACGCGUUAAGUAUCCCGCCUGUGGAGUACGAUCGCAAGAUUAAAACAUAAAGGAAUUGACGGGGACCCGCACAAGCGGUGGAGCGUGUUCUUUAAAUUCGAUGCUAAACGAAGAACCUUACCAGGGCUUGACAUCCCUUGAAUUACUCCGAAAGGAGUGAGUGCUUUAUUGAGCAAGGUGACAGGUGAUGCAUGGCCGUCGUCAGCUCGUGUCGUGAGAUGUUUGGUUAAGUCCAUCAACGAGCGCAACCCUUAUACUUAGUUGUAUUUUUCUAGGUAGACUG